CUGCACAGCACUGGCUGACAACUGCUGUCCAGCGCGCUCCACGCCUGACUGUGAGGGGGAAUCGCUUGGGAGCACCCGUCACAUGCCCAGAGAUUGCCUUCCGAGGCUUUCUGGAGUACCGUGUGCCGUGUGCCGCAGGGAGGCUCAGGGCUCCUCCUUUAUUCUAGCCUGUUUCCAGCAACCCCCAGGGCAACGUCCUGACUCUUCUGUGUGCGUCUGCAGAGCUCUCCUCCUGCGGCUUCCUGCAUCUGCAAGCUUGUUCUGAAGGCCGAGAGGUCUAAGUGCGUCACCGUGUGCAUGGUCCUUUAACCCUUCGUGUCCUGCGCCGGGAUUGAAGCCUGAGAAGGAAGGCAAAUCAAACGGAUCUGCUGCUUUAAAGCUGAAGUAAUCCAGCGUGCCUGAAAGGAACUUUGCCACAAGAAAAAGGCUUCUGAAGUUGAAGUCGUUUCUCUUGUCUGGCCCACACAUCCCCCGUGCUAAGGGUAAAAGCACUCAGACUCAGCUCGUGACAGUGAAUUUGGUGAGGAUUUCUUUUUAUGUACAUGUUGUCAGUACAUGCAGUUUACAGUCAUCUUGGGGAGUGGUACAUGUGCAUAAUACAGCUUUUUAAAAAUUUCUCUUCCUUCUCACCUCUCUCCCUCCUCCUCCAAGUCCCCUUUCCCUGUGUUCGUUAGUGUUGAUGUUACUAAUCUUAGCUUAUGUUCAUGAUGUACAGUGUCCACACUCAUUGAGGUUAUUAGGUUCCUGUUCAUGGCAUCUCCGUCCUACUUAUUUCCCUUCCCUUCCUGUUCUCCUCUCAUCUCUGUUCUCAUGGACCCCUUUCCAUUCGCAAGAGAUCUGUUAUUGUGCUCUUUGUAUGUUGCCUUCCUCAAAUGAAAUACAGUAUUUAAACUUCUGUAUCUGAUUUAUUUCAUUCAACAUUAUAUGUCUCAAGUGUACCCAUUUUCCUAUAAAUGUCUUGAGUUUGUCCUUUAUAGCUAAGUAGUAUUGCAUUAUUUAUAGAUAGCACAUUUUCUUUAUCCUAUCAUCUGUUGAUAGAUAUGCAGGCUGUUUCCAGGAUUUUACUGUUUUAAAUUAUGCUGCUAUAAACAUUGGUAGCACGUAUCACUAUAGUAUGACAUCGUUAGCUCUUUGGAGAAGAUACCUAGAAGGAGAAUUAUAGUCUUUUGAGGAAUCUCCUUACUGAUUUCCAUAAUGGUUGUACUAGUUUGCAUUUCCACCAACAAUGUAGGAGUGUUCCUUUUUCACUUCAGCCUCACCAGCAUUUGUUAUUUUUUUUACUUCUUCUUGAUGGUAGCCAUUCUUUCUGGAGCAAGAUGGAAUCAAUUUGUGUACAUCAAUAAUGAAUUCAGUGAGAAGGAAAUUAUGAAAGCAAUGCCAUUCAUGGCAAUAAUUUCUUGAGUAUGACACCCAAAGCACAGACAACUAAAGAAAUUAGAUCACAAAAUUUCAAAGUUCUAUUGAUUAUCAGACAUAAUCAACAGGGCCAAAAGGUAAUCCAUAAAUGGGAGAAAAUAUUUACAGAUUGGAUAUCUGAUAAUGGGUUAAUAUUCAGAAUAUAUAAAUAAUACAACUACUGAACAGCAAAAAUGAACAACUAUAUUUAAAAAUGGCAAAGGACUUGAAUGGGAUUUAUUCAAACAAAGAUACACAAGCAGGCACAAAGCACAUGAAAACAUGCUUAGCAUCAAAUAGUAGGGAAAUGUAACCAAAACCACAAUGAGAGAUACUAUCUCAUGUGCAUUAAGAUUGCUACUGUCAGGAAAUAACAUGGGUUUGUAAGAAUGUAGAGAAACCGAACACUUGUAUUUUAUGCAGGAAUGCAAAAUGUUGCUGCUGCUAUGGAAAACAGCAUAUAUAUUCCUCAAAAAUUUAAAAAUAAAUCUAGCAUAUGAUCCAGCAAAUUCACUUCUGGGUGUACAUCCCAGAUAAUUGGAACCAAGGUCUCAGAGAGAUGUGAACACCCACGUUCAUGGCAGCACUACUGACAGCAGCUGAAAGGAGUACACAACUCAAGUAUCCAUCAGUGGAUCAAUGGCUAAAAAAAUGUAUAAAAAUGUAUAAAAAGAAAGUUGUCCAGCUUUACAAUGGAGGGAAACUCUGGUACCUGCUAUGACAUGGGUGAACAUUGAGGACAUUAUGCUAACUAAAACAAGUCAUCACAAAGAGACAAAUUUGCAUGGUCCCAUGCUUUGAAGAAUCUAGGGAUGCCAAAUUUAUAGAAACGUAAAGUGUAACGGUGGUUGCCAGGGAUAGGGAACAGGGUGUUGUGGUUUAAUACAGUGGUUCCCAAUCUUUUUAGUGCCAGGAUCCAGUUUUGUGGAUGAUAGUUUUUCCACAGACGGAGGAAGGUAGGAGGGUGGUUUCAGGAUGAUUCGAGCACAUUAUAUUUAUUGUACACUCUCUAUCAUUACUGCAUUGUAAUACAUAAGGAAAUAAUCAUAUAACUCACCGUGAUGCAGAAUCAGUGGUAGCCCUGAGCUUGUGUUUCUGUAACUAGAUGGUUUCAUUGUGGGGUGAUGGGAGACAGUGACACCCAAAGUGCAUUAUGU
ensembl:lncRNA